AUACGUUUUAGGUAUCAAUUGUGAUCAAAAACAGAGAUCAAUAAGAAAAGCUUAGUUAUAUUGAUUUGAACUUAGGAAUUACAGAGGAAACGAUUACAGAUCAAGAGAUAUCUCACAUUCUCUCAUCUCUGAAAUCACUCAAACUCUCGAUAAACCUCUCCCUCCACACUCUCACGUUAUUAUAAAGCAAAACCAUUAACUAAACCAUAAUUACUUUAUGCUAACUAUGGUUACUUGCUCUUAUCUAGCCAAGAGUCAAUGACCAUUUACCCCCUUUGGAUAUACUGCUCUUAUCAAUACUUCCCCCUUUGAAUUCAACCUUGUCCUCAAGGUUGAAGCAAGGAACAAGCUUCCAAUCCCCUAGCUCCCACACACACUCAUAUCUUUGCAGCCUAUCACAGUUGAUGCGAUCUUCCUCCCCGUAGGUUAGAUUCUUCAAAUGACUGAUCUCAAUCACAAUCUUCUGUCCAAUAAUGUUCAGCUCCUUGGCAUCUUGCUUCUCUUCUGCUCCAUACCCAGACAUCUUCAACACCUCAGUACUCUCUUCUUGAAAGCAAGUCCACAAGUAAAAACCCAAGAGUUUUACUGCCUUAUGACCCUGUUUCAGUUUCUUGAGUUGUGUACAGCCCUCCUUCCUUUUCCACUUCCUGUAAUUUGUGAUCAGCCUGCUUAUCUUUCUUAUCCCAUACCAGAAAAUUUCUCGCAGCCAUUGGUGCCCAUAUGCCUUAAGCUCACUCACGUCCUUGUUCUUCUCGCACGUUAUCCACUGCACUGGUCCAAUCGUUUGCUGCUGGCCAUCAGAACCCGCCACACAUCUAGUCGUCAAGGGCUGCUUAAAAGAAAGCAUUGGGGAUCGCAGAACCCUUUUCAAGUCCAUUAGGGUAUUUCCGGGAGUAAUAUCAAGUGCUUCCCGUACAUACGUAAUGCGGUUGAACUCAAAUGGCUUCUUAGGCCAUUCACCAAUAACUCUCUCGAGUUCAGGAUCCGCAUCAGUAGGUGGAAGUAGCCGUUCUUCCUUGUGCUUGGCUGCAGCUGUGCUGUCACUUAAAGUCCAGCGACCUUCCCUGUUAGUUGUUCCAAGCACAGCCAUUAGAGGCCUUCUCUUCCCACAGAUUGAUUGCAACAUCUCUUGGCUCCCAACAUACACAAAGAUUGAACCUUGCUUUUGAUACUCUGCUCGUCUUUUUCUUGCUGUCAACUUCUUAUGAUCACCCUUAAGAAUCACUCUUAUGGUAAUCUCUGCGAUCUCUGGAUAAGUAGUCUCCAUGAUGACAGUGCAGUUCUCACCAGGGCCUUGAUUAUGAAUGCUGGUAAUGGGAUUCUCCUCACCCAUUUUAAUGCACACCCAAUACAACUUCAUCUCAGCAACUCCUCGCAGCAGAGCAUUGAAGUCAAGUUCCAGAUCAGUCUGACCAUUAACCAUACUAGAAACUGCACAUCCUCCUAUUCCAAUACGAUAAGCAAGUAUUCCAACUUCUGGCUUCCUAUCUUUCAUCCCAAUUCCCCACCAAGACAACCCUUCAAGAACCAUGGAACCCCCCUUCACUCGUCUACACCCUUUUUUCCACAGGUUAAAACUUCUGUAAUUACUCUUUGUAGAGAGCAGGAAGCUGAGUUGAACUUCUCUCCAUAGUUUGUACGUACAACACUUCCAGAGAUACCUUUCAUAAUCCUUGAGCUUAAUGCUGGAGCUUAAUGAGAAAACACCAAGAUUCCAAGACCAUCUGUUACUGAUCUUGUGCUUGUCCCUGUACCUGUAUCUAGCCUUUUGUUUCCUAGUCUUGAACCUUGUCCACACUGUUGUGAUCAGCAAGAGAGGCUCACCACAGCCCACACGCCUGUAUUUCAACUUGGCUCUCCUUCUCCUAUAGGCAACUCGCAGCAGCUCACACCCCAUCUUUAGCUUUAGCCAUUUUCUGCUCUUCAAGGAGACUCUCCCAAAAUGAUUUCUGUCACACUCUAUGCUCAAGUUCUUUCUCAAAGAAUCCCACACAAGUUCAGUAGUUCCAAGGAGAGAAAUCUGAUUACCAAACAACCUUACCCUAUUAGUUCCCUUCAACUUGUUGAAUAAUUGUUUGAACUUCCAUUUCUUCCAUUUUGCAAGCGCCCUCAACACUCUUCUACAUCUAUGCAGCAGCCCUUCAAGCUUCUCUACAAGCUUUAUUCUCUUCAUCUGUUGCUUGCAACACUUCAUUAGCCUUCCAAAUGUGUUUCGUUUGGUUUGACGAUGCAUAUUUUUCACCGCUCCAGACUUGUAUUUGAACCUUUUCUUCUUCUUCCAUUUUUCUGUAACUUUCAAUAGCAGGAGCUUUUUGCCAUCGACUUGACCACCAUGCUUCGUCAUCUCAGCAUGUGUCAAUUUGUUCCCUUUUCCCUCAGUAAAUUUCAUCACAUAGCACUUCACCCCACUUGACAGCAACCGUAUUGACUUUGUACGAGGUCUACACUUCUUCCUUUUAAUCUCUUUCCAUCUUUUUCUCUUCCUUGUUACUCUUAUACUCCCCUCAGCCAUUUGAUCGAACACCUGGUGGGCACACUUCUUCCUCUUGGUUACAAGCAGCACCUCUCUCGCAUAUUUACCUCUCUCAAAGUACGGCUCGACUUUGUGAUCCCAACAGAUUAAGGUUUCACCAUCUUGCGUCCCUUGCGAAGCCAUUUGAUGAUCAUUCAGAAGUUCAUUCCUCCUCUCAAGCGUCAGCUUAAUCGGUUCCACAGGCGGACAGAAACUCUUCAAGGAUCCUUCCACAUGAUCAAGAUCCGAGUCUUCUGCAGCCAACGUCUCUUCCUCCAGUGAUUUCUUGGCAGCAUCUUCUUCAUCCUCACGUUCAAUCAUGCGACGGCACGCUUCCAGCAUCUCCAGCCGGGCUUUCCUUUCCUCCUCAAACGUCCUCACCGGCCUGUCAUAGUUCGUCGAGGCUCGGAUCUCUUCUAUCUCCUCCAUCGAGGUACCACCCGCCAAAGCAAUUUCGACCCAGCGCUCGGUCCAGUACUUCUCCAUCCGCUCCAGGUAUGAGGAUCUGCUACACCGCUCUUGGACAACCACGGCCGGCUUCGGGAACCUCAUGUCCCUUUCCGGUUGUUGCUCCACAACCAACGGUCUCAUCCUCCUCACGCCCUGUUGCAUCUGGUUCCACACUUGAUCAAUUUCCGCUUCCGUCGACAUGGGUCACCGGAAUCAAACGGCUCUGAUACCAAUUUGAUACGUUUUAGGUAUCAAUUGUGAUCAAAAACAGAGAUCAAUAAGAAAAGCUUAGUUAUAUUGAUUUGAACUUAGGAAUUACAGAGGAAACGAUUACAGAUCAAGAGAUAUCUCACAUUCUCUCAUCUCUGAAAUCACUCAAACUCUCGAUAAACCUCUCCCUCCACACUCUCACGUUAUUAUAAAGCAAAACCAUUAACUAAACCAUAAUUACUUUAUGCUAACUAUGGUUACUUGCUCUUAUCUAGCCAAGAGUCAAUGACCAUUUACCCCCUUUGGAUAUACUGCUCUUAUCAAUCUCUUGUCUUAGUAUUUCUAUCUUUCUCUUGUAAAUUGGGUUCAGAGGUCUUGCAUUGAUUAGGAUUAAGUUUGCUAUGUCACGUAACAUAAUUUUUGCACAACCUUGUAUAC
rnacentral:lncRNA from 1 species